UGCUGAGAUGCCGAGGAACGGAUCACUGUCCGGCGAGUCCUGCGCUCCUGCCGUCCGCAUGCCCCAGCCAGUGCUCCGUGAGAUCUACGAGCUCGGCGUUCGUGCGGGUGCCGCCCGACGGUGGCACGCGAGGUCUCCGCGCCAGGCGUUCGCGCGGUUGCCGGCAGUCGCGAGGACGCCAGGCUCGGCUUUGCCACUGGCAGGAGGCGCGAAUCCACUGGCAGGGUGGGCCUUGUACGGCCGCCGUGUAUGGCCCAUCCGGCCCACCCUUUAGCUCCGCCCAUGGCGCUGCAGCCCUCUACCUGCGCCGCCCCUGCCGACUCCCGCCGACGGCACUGCUCGCGGUCCCGCAGCCGACGCCGCCCCUGCCCUCUCCCGCUGCAGACGCCGCCGCACCUGACCUGCCUUCUCCUGCCGCCGCCCCUGCCCUCCGCUCCUACCCCGCCUGCCUCCGGAUCUGCGCCGACCUUCCCUCCCCUGACGUCGCCUGGGAUCCGGAUCCGCGUUUUCCUACCUCCCCCCGACACCGCCUGCCUCUGGAGCCGCGCCGUCGCCCCUGCACUUGCCCUGACGCCGCCUGCCUCUCCUUACUAAAUGACGGCGGCAACGAAGGCGGAGAUGGGAUUUGAGCGGCAUGCCUAUGCGAGGGUGGGGCUCCUUGGCAACCCCAGCGACGUGUACAACGGCAAGGCACUCUCCUUCACCAUCACUGACUUCUCCGCCACUGUCCGCCUCCGCCCAUCGCCCGAGCUGCUCAUCCAACCGCACCCGCACCAUGAUCUUGUCGCCUUCCCCUCCCUGCCCCACCUCCGAGAGGAUUAUCACUGCUGCCUCAAGAUUGGGGUCCCUAAACAUGUAGAGGUAUGGCACUUCCAAUUCAUGCAACAAAUAGGCAUUACUUACAACCAAAAGAACAAGAGGAAAGCUGCAAGACUUUUUGAUCUGAUAAUCAGAAGCUGCAGCAGUGCUUACCUUACCUCCAAGGUGAGUCGUUUGCAAAAUGAAGGAUACUAUGGAGGUGUUCGGCUGCUGAUGGCUAUCUGUAAAGUUUUCUACAAUCACUGUAUUCAAAAUAAUAUCAGUCUAAAAGCUGAAAAUUUCACCUUAUCAUACGAUACUAAUAUUCCUCGGCAGGCUGGGCUAUCUGGUUCAAGCGCGAUUGCUUGUGCUGCUCUAAACUGCCUUCUUGACUUCUAUGAUGUCAGGCAUUUAAUAAAAGUUGAAUUGAGACCUAAUCUGAUUCUCGAUGCUGAGAAAGAGCUUGGAAUUGUUGCUGGACUUCAGGACCGUGUGGCACAGGUUUAUGGGGGACUGGUUUAUAUGGAUUUUAGCCAAGAGCAUAUGGACAAGCUGGGUCAUGGCAUAUACAGACCUUUGGAUGUCAAUCUGCUUCCUCCUCUAUACCUCAUCUAUGCAGAGAACCCCAGUGACUCUGGCAAGGUCCACAGCAGUGUUAGGCAAAGAUGGCUUAAUGGUGAUGAGUUUAUAAUAUCAUGUAUGAAGGAAGUAGCGCAGCUAGCGCUUGAUGGCCACAGGGCUUUGCUGCAGAAGGAUUGUACUGAGCUUGCACGGCUUAUGAAUAGGAACUUUGAUCUGCGAAGGGAAAUGUUUGGAGAUGAUGUACUUGGAUCCGUGAACAUAAAGAUGGUGGAGGUGGCACGCAGCGUUGGUGCGUCAUCCAAGUUCACUGGCAGCGGGGGCGCGGUGGUUGCUCUGUGCCCAGAUGGUGAAGCGCAGGCGGAGCUUCUCCACAAGGCUUGCCAAGAGGCUGGCUUUGUGGUACAGAAGAUCAAAGUUGCACCCUCGGUGCUGUCGGAUGAGGAGUUGACAAGCUUAUCAACUUGCUAGUCCUGUUGAGUGGUUGAAGCUACUGUUCCAUUUCGGAGAAAAUGAAAAAAAAACAGAAACCAGCACUGGAAAGGAGAUGUCCGUACUAGUAUCUGAGGGGUAGCACGGGUAGAUCAAAUUGCUUACUCUCAAUCAUGAGCAAUGAAACCGACAGGAACUAGGAGCUGCUGUGAUGAUUCUUUGCAAUCUGGGAGCUUUUUCACUAGCUCAUUGCACACACAUACUCUCUUUUGAAUAUACUGAGCUCAGAAAGGAGAUGGACAGAUGGUGUAGCAGGGUGUUGUUGCUGGUCUCCUGGUCCUGAAUGCUCUGAAAUAUCUGUUGAAGUUUGGAUAAGUUAGGAUCACAUCUUCUAUUUUGUUUGGUUUGUAAGUUGUAACACUAUGAGUGCUGCUACUAUUAAAUAUUGUACAAAUGUACGGGAUGGUGAAAAAUGCAUUGUUCUAAUGGUUUUACCUAAUUGGAACUAAUUGGCUUUUGUACCCUACUGUGA